ensembl:lncRNA
CUUCUUGGAAAGAGCUGCUGCAGAUUAGAAGGCUUUGAAGAGGGGCCAGUGUAGUGAAGUCAAGUCAGCCUACGAAGUGAGAAUCAUCCCAAGGAAGUAGGUGUUGAUAAAAGGCCGAAGCUCAAAUGGUACCCUUUUCAGAGGCCUAGAGAAAAGCAGGAAUUUGGAGGGAUCUUGUACUUGGCCUUUCCUUGUAAUAUAGUAGGUGUGCUACCCCUAAGUGCUGAGGAUAAUGUAAGAUAUAUCAACUUGGAAGUCACAGACAUCCUUUGAUGUCCUCCAGCAUGCUCCUGAAUCCUUCUCACUAAAGUGAAUCCCAUGAAUGCUCUGAAAUCCUGUAAACUGAACUAUUUUUAUGAGAGUAUUGCAUCACUGGCUAAUAAUUUUUUCAGCUUCGGGAUGACAGUUGUUUUCAGAUUUCUAACUUGACAGCUAUGUUGGAUUUUUUUAUGUCAGCUUUUUACAGUUCUUUCAUAUGUAUGUAUAUGUAUAUAUUUCCUUUUGUGGUUUUCAGUUUUGUAACAAUGUUUUGCAAUUGUAGCAGCUUUUUAAUUAAUAUUAGUCAAACUACCAAAAGUGUUCUCAAAUCUGAAUAUUUUCUGAAGAGCUAAAACUAUCACAGGACUACAGGCUAGCUGUUCAGGCACUUUACCAAAUAGUUGAACCUUUAUCUUUGACGAUAUUGCAGAGCUUUGUGUCUGGUUACUGUUCCAUAUUAAAGUGAAAUAAAACAUCAAUAAAUGCAGAGUUCCAUGGUACAGCUGCCUGUACCAGUUGAAAUCUGAAGUCCAGAUGUAAGCUGAAUGAAAGACAAAUGAAAGUCUAAC